GAUGAACGCUGGCGGCGUGCCUAAUACAUGCAAGUCGAGCGAACAGACGAGGAGCUUGCUCCUCUGACGUUAGCGGCGGACGGGUGAGUAACACGUGGAUAACCUACCUAUAAGACUGGGAUAACUUCGGGAAACCGGAGCUAAUACCGGAUAAUAUAUUGAACCGCAUGGUUCAAUAGUGAAAGACGGUUUUGCUGUCACUUAUAGAUGGAUCCGCGCCGCAUUAGCUAGUUGGUAAGGUAACGGCUUACCAAGGCAACGAUGCGUAGCCGACCUGAGAGGGUGAUCGGCCACACUGGAACUGAGACACGGUCCAGACUCCUACGGGAGGCAGCAGUAGGGAAUCUUCCACAAUGGGCGAAAGCCUGACGGAGCAACGCCGCGUGAGUGAUGAAGGUCUUCGGAUCGUAAAACUCUGUUAUUAGGGAAGAACAAAUGUGUAAGUAACUAUGCACGUCUUGACGGUACCGAAUCAGAAAGCCACGGCUAACUACGUG
rnacentral:rRNA from 1 species